GAGGAGACAUCCACAUUUGACUUCAUGAAAAUAUACAUGUGUGUGUGGAAUGACACUCCCCCAUAUGAAUAUGCACACAUAUGCAUAUAUGAUAAAAAGGAAGUGGCGAAAUCUGUAGACACCCAAAUAGAGUCCUUUUCCAAGUCCAUAUUCACCAGAAUCUCGGUUUGAAUCUGACCGGUCGCUGAGCGGCUCUCAUGCUGUGCUCUUGGCUCCCAGCAGGUGGCGCUGUUCUGAAGACUCGUAACCCCUUUAGAAGGUGAAGCCUGAGAGGCAGAUAUAGUUUGCUAGGGGCGAACCUUUGAAGGUUACACCCGCUCCUGGUUCCAGAGAGUUCCAUCUUUCCUGGUUCACUGUGAUAUGAACAGCAGCUCCAUGUCACACACUGCCACCAGGCCUGCUUGACAAUGAUGAACUGAAAUCCCUCUGAAGCCCUGAGCUAAAAUAAAAGCCCCUUUAAAGUUG
rnacentral:lncRNA from 1 species